rnacentral:rRNA from 1 species
GACGAACGCUGGCGGCGUGCUUAACACAUGCAAGUCGAACGGAAAGGCCCUGCUGUGGUGUGGUGCUCGAGUGGCGAACGGGGGAGUAACACGGGAGUAACCUGCCCGGUACUUUGGGAUAACUUCGGGAAACUGGGGCGAAUACCGGAUAGGAGCUCCUGCUGCAUUGUGGGGGUUGGAAAGUUUCGGCGGUUGGGGAUGGACUCGCGGCUUAUCAGCUUGUUGGUGGGGUAGUGGCUUACCAAGGCUUUGACGGGUAGCCGGCCUGAGAGGGUGACCGGCCACAUUGGGACUGCGAUACGGACCAGACUGCUACGGGAGGCAGCAGUGGGGAAUAUUGCCCAAUGGGCGGAAGCCUGAUGCAGCAACGCCGCGUGCGGGAUGACGGCCUUCGGGUUGUAAACCGCUUUCGCCUGUGACGAAGCGUGAGUGACGGUAAUGGGUAAAGAAGCACCGGCUAACUACGUG